AGUGAACGCUGGCGGUAGGCCUAACACAUGCAAGUCGAACGGCAGCACAGUAAGAGCUUGCUCUUACGGGUGGCGAGUGGCGGACGGGUGAGGAAUACAUCGGAAUCUACUUUUUCGUGGGGGAUAACGUAGGGAAACUUACGCUAAUACCGCAUACGACCUACGGGUGAAAGCAGGGGAUCUUCGGACCUUGCGCGAUUGAAUGAGCCGAUGUCGGAUUAGCUAGUUGGCGGGGUAAAGGCCCACCAAGGCGACGAUCCGUAGCUGGUCUGAGAGGAUGAUCAGCCACACUGGAACUGAGACACGGUCCAGACUCCUACGGGAGGCAGCAGUGGGGAAUAUUGGACAAUGGGGGCAAGCCUGAUCCAGCCAUACCGCGUGGGUGAAGAAGGCCUUCGGGUUGUAAAGCCCUUUUGUUGGGAAAGAAAAGCAGCAGGUUAAUACCACGCUGUUCUGACGGUACCCAAAGAAUAAGCACCGGCUAACUUCGUG
rnacentral:rRNA from 1 species